rnacentral:rRNA from 1 species
UGGCGGACGGGUGAGUAACGCGUGGGGAACCUGCCUUGCACCGGGGGAUAGCACUUAGAAAUAGGUGCUAAUACCGCAUAAGCGCACAGAGCCGCAUGGCUCGGUGUGAAAAACUCCGGUGGUGCAAGAUGGACCCGCGUCUGAUUAGCUGGUUGGCGGGGUAACGGCCCACCAAGGCGACGAUCAGUAGCCGGCCUGAGAGGGUGAACGGCCACAUUGGGACUGAGACACGGCCCAAACUCCUACGGAAGGCAGCAG